UACGUAGGGUGCGAGCGUUGUCCGGAAUUAUUGGGCGUAAAGGGCUCGUAGGCGGUUUGUCGCGUCGGGAGUGAAAACACUGGGCUUAACUCAGUGCUUGCUUCCGAUACGGGCAGACUAGAGGUAUUCAGGGGAGAACGGAAUUCCUGGUGUAGCGGUGAAAUGCGCAGAUAUCAGGAGGAACACCGGUGGCGAAGGCGGGUCUCUGGGCCGAUACUGACGCUGAGGAGCGAAAGCGUGGGGAGCGAACAGG
rnacentral:rRNA from 1 species